rnacentral:rRNA from 1 species
GAGUUUGAUCCUGGCUCAGGACGAACGCUGGCGGCGUGCCUAAUACAUGCAAGUCGAGCGGAUCUUCAUUAGCUUGCUUUUGAAGAUCAGCGGCGGACGGGUGAGUAACACGUGGGCAACCUGCCUGUAAGACUGGGAUAACUUCGGGAAACCGGAGCUAAUACCCGGGAUAAUCCUUUUCCUCUCAUGAGGAAAAGCUGAAAGACGGUUUCGGCUGUCACUUACAGAUGGGCCCGCGGCGCAUUAGCUAGUUGGUGAGGUAACGGCUCACCAAGGCGACGAUGCGUAGCCGACCUGAGAGGGUGAUCGGCCACACUGGGACUGAGACACGGCCCAGACUCCUACGGGAGGCAGCAGUAGGGAAUCUUCCGCAAUGGACGAAAGUCUGACGGAGCAACGCCGCGUGAGCGAUGAAGGCC